rnacentral:rRNA from 1 species
CUUAGAGUUUGAUCCUGGCUCAGGAUGAACGCUGGCGGUCUGCUUAACACAUGCAAGUCGAACGCAACCUUUCGGGGUUGAGUGGCGGACGGGUGAGUAACGCGUGAGAAUCUGCCUUUAGGUCCGGGACAACCACUGGAAACGGUGGCUAAUACCGGAUGUGCCGCAACGUGAAAGGGGAAACCCGCCUGAAGAUGAGCUCGCGUCUGAUUAGCUAGUUGGUGAGGUAAAGGCUCACCAAGGCGACGAUCAGUAGCUGGUCUGAGAGGAUGACCAGCCACACUGGGACUGAGACACGGCCCAGACUCCUACGGGAGGCAGCAGUGGGGAAUUUUCCGCAAUGGGCGAAAGCCUGACGGAGCAAGACCGCGUGAGGGAAGAAGGCUCUUGGGUCGUAAGCCUCUUUUGUCAGGGAAGAACACAAUGACGGUACCUGACGAAUCAGCCUCGGCUAACUCCGUGCCAGCAGCCGCGGUAAUACGGAGGAGGCAAGCGUUAUCCGGAAUUAUUGGGCGUAAAGCGUCCGUAGGUGGCUAGUCAAGUCUGCGGUCAAAGACUGGGGCUUAACCCUGGAAAGGCCGUGGAAACUGACGAGCUAGAGUGCAGUAGGGGUAGAGGGAAUUCCCGGUGUAGCGGUGAAAUGCGUAGAGCUCGGGAAGAACAUCGGUGGCGAAAGCGCUCUACUGGACUGCAACUGACACUCAGGGACGAAAGCUAUGGGAGCGAAUGGGAUUAGAUA